rnacentral:sRNA from 12 species
CACUCUUGAAACACAAGUGAAAAAUUAUCAAAUGCAAACGUUAAAAUAUCUUUUUCGAUUGAUGUUAUUUAUCGUUCUUUUCAGUUCUGGCGUU